GAUGAACGCUGGCGGCGUGCCUAAUACAUGCAAGUAGAACGCUGAAGGAAGGAGCUUGCUCUUUCCGGAUGAGUUGCGAACGGGUGAGUAACGCGUAGGUAACCUGCCUGGUAGCGGGGGAUAACUAUUGGAAACGAUAGCUAAUACCGCAUAACAGUAGAUGUUGCAUGAUAUCUACUUAAAAGGUGCAAUUGCACCACUACCAGAUGGACCUGCGUUGUAUUAGCUAGUUGGUGAGGUAACGGCUCACCAAGGCGACGAUACAUAGCCGACCUGAGAGGGGGAUCGGCCACACUGGGACUGAGACACGGCCCAGACUCCUACGGGAGGCAGCAGUAGGGGAUCUUCGGCAAUGGACGGAAGUCUGACCGAGCAACGCCGCGUGAGUGAAGAAGGUUUUCGGAUCGUAAAGCUCUGUUGUAAGAGAAGAACGAGUGUGAGAGUGGAAAGUUCACACUGUGACGGUAUCUUACCAGAAAGGGACGGCUAACUACGUG
rnacentral:rRNA from 1 species